AGCGAACGUUAGCGGCGGGCCUAACACAUGCAAGUCGAACGCGAAAGGUCUUCGGACUGAGUAGAGUGGCGCACGGGUGAGUAACACGUAGGUAAUCUACCCUUUGGCGGGGGAUAACGUUCCGAAAGGAGCGCUAAUACCGCAUAAGACCACGGAGUCUCCGGACGCUGUGGGAAAAGGUGGCCUCUUCUUGAAAGCUACCACCGAAGGAUGAGCCUGCGUCCCAUCAGCUAGUUGGUAAGGUAAUGGCUUACCAAGGCGAAGACGGGUAGCUGGUUUGAGAGAAUGAUCAGCCACACUGGCACUGGAACACGGGCCAGACUCCUACGGGAGGCAGCAGUGAGGAAUAUUGGGCAAUGGGCGAAAGCCUGACCCAGCCACGCCGCG
rnacentral:rRNA from 1 species